GGGGAGCCGAGGCCCCGUCCGGCCCCGUCUAGUCCCGUCCGGCAUCGGAUGCUGCAGCUCGCAGCGGCCCGGCAGAGAGAGCACGCCGUCCCGGUCACGCCACGRGCAACAGCGACGGUCACCUGAGCUGGGGUCCGGCCGCAGCAUCGGGGCUUGCGGUCCUGCUCCUGCGGGACGAGAGCACGGGAAACACCGAGGGACCCAUCGCUGCUGCAGCCCCCGAGGUGCCGGUCCCGCGUCGGCGUGCGGCCCUGCUGCGUGGGGCAGACGGGCCUGCGGCAGCGCCCGGGCUCACGGCAGCUCCCGGGCUCGCGCGCAUCUGCGGAAAAGCCAGCGGCGGCUCUUCACGCACAAACUGCUCCGCUCGCAGGGUCGCGUGCGGCAGAGCUGCUCCGGCCAGGCUGGGAGCCCGGGGCAGCUCCGCGGCUGUGCGGCGGCGGGAUGCGGGGAAGGGGGGAGGCUGCCGCCGGGGACAGGCCCUGGGCUGUUCGCUGCAGCCCAAACGACUUUCCCAGCCCUGCUUUGCACGGUCGCUUUGAAACACGAGCUGGGGAGGCACGGCUGGAGGACGGAGGGCCCCYGCCGAGCUUUGGCUGGAGCGAUCGGGGCUGCGCUCUCCCGGGAGAUGCCCAGGGGCCGGGUGGGAACGGCGGCCGAGCUGGUCAGAGACGUGGGGCUGAGCGGAGGCAGCCUCAGCCUCCCAGCCCGGCUCAGCCGAAACCCCUGGGCUCCCGGUGGCGGCCUGCAGCCGGGGGGGCUCCGGGGGCCGCCUGUGCCUGCUCGGGACGGUCUGGCCCGUGAUCGGGAGCAUCCCUGAGCCUCGCAGUGGGUCAGCGCGGACAGCCCGGAGCGACACUCCAGGCCUGGUGCAGCCCGGCCUCCGCCGAGGUCCCCGGGGCUCCGGGAGGCCGCGGGCGCAUCCAGCCCGGCCUCCGCCGAGGUCCCCGGGGCUSCGGGAGGCCCGGCCGGGCCGAGCUGCCGCCAGGUGGCACGCGGAGGCCGGAGAUCUCGGG
rnacentral:lncRNA from 1 species